GAGAUCUUUUAGCCAUUGUAACUCGAAAUGUGUGAAGAAUCCCAACUUUCGAAACGCCAUUGGAAAAGUUGUGUCUGAAACUGUACCAGACUUUUCUGGCGUCCGGCUAACGUUAGCUUCAGAGUUGCUACCAUCUUUACGAAACUUGACCCCAUCGAUGCUACGGAUACGAGGAUGUAAUUAUGGACACUAAUUUUAACAUAACAGGAUCGCUGAUAGACGUAGAUCUUUAUGACGACCUUUAUUACUCGUGCCAUACUCUGAAGAAUACGGAUACCCGAGUCAUUCAAAUAGAACACCUUGAUUCUUGCGUUGUCUAUUUUCCUAAUAAAUUCUGCAAUUAUCACACCACUGUGCAUCGACCGACAAUCCUGGACAAUGUGACAAUUGAUUUCAGCAAUGGUGACGACAAUGGUGGAAGUUAUUUCCAAGUGAAGUCAUUAAUGUUGUGCGUCAGCGUUUUAAAAUCUGAAUCUUACCGCGCGACUUUGCAAGGAUUGUAUGGCGACACAUUGGAAAUAUUGGAACUUGUUUUAUAUUCGAGUGAAGUCUUUAGAGGAAAAAAUGUUACCUUUCGAAUAUCAGGCUGUCAACAAUUAAAUAAUACGCUUAUAAAAUAUAGUUCAAUGGAUACCGGAGGCCACUGCAUUGCCAUGUUUACCGAUUUUAAUUGUGUUACUGGACAUGGGGACAUUUUAUACUCAGGGUCACCGGUCCUAAGAAAUUUAAAACUUUUAAAUCCGCGCGGAGAGAUUCAUAGUGUUAGAAAGUGUGUGGACCCUGACCAUAUAAAUGACACCAGGGCAGAAUUUAGCUUCACAAUGCAUAAUUCUCAAUUCGGUUCGAAUUGGACAAUUGAUCACAGGACAAAUCCAGAUAUUUCAACUUGCUGGGAAAUCCCGUACUAUUUUCGGGCAGGGGAAAUAACCUCGAUAAUCGUGCACCAAGGGUGUGUCCAACUUUACCUUGAUAUUAAUUGUUCCCCUUACGCGCAAACGGUCCGCAUACGGCCAUCCUUUGACGCAAGUAAUUUGACGAAAUGGUGGAAUUUCGCCGAUACUUAUAGAAAAAUUCCGCGAGUCGGAUCGUUUAGCGGGUGCAAUUCAUCUUUAAGUAAGAAAUCAGUUUGGAAAGAGGAAAACGAUGAUGUGCAGCAUCAUCCUGAUAGGGGGAUCGUGAUACUUCUUAGUUCAGAAAUUUCUCAAGCAUACACAGAAAUAAAAUCGUGCGAAUCCUUUGGACGCCGUCUGGACUACGAAGAUGAUCCCAUCCAACUCAUUUCGGCCAAAAAUGUCUGUGUUGUGUUCUUUAACGAAGAGCGCUGCGACAUGAAGCCAACAAACGUUAGGCCGUCGUUUCUCAACGUUUCGCAAAUUGAGGGAGUAGUAAAUAUAAAAUUAAGUGAAAACCCGUUCUGGCUAAAUCCUGAAUAUCUACCGAGAUCCGUGAUAAGUUGCGAAGACUACCCCUGGUCACCGAGUGAAGAUCUUCGAAGCCUAAACUAUAAUUCUAGGAAAAGUUUGGACACCAAAACUGUUCUCCUUUACAUCGGAUUGGGCGUAAUUGUCACAAUAGUGAUUGGAACCUUGGUCUUAUUCUUGCUUUUAAAAUACUUUCCGAAAAGAUCGUAGUUUCCGCAAGCAGAAAUCGAGUCCUUUUACAACGGCAGUAAUUCCAUUUGUGCCAAUGAUGACGAUAAAAUUCAAGGUUUGGCGGUCGACCGAAAGUAUGAAAUACUGCCGAAAGAUUUUAUUUAUGCAAACUCGGAAGAUAAGGCCGUCAUUAUUUUGGGGAGCGGGGCAUUCGGCGUUGUCGCGCAAGGAGUGUUAAAUCUAGGCUUCGACGAAUUAACUGGUGUCCCUGUGAUGAAAACCGUGGCCAUUAAGACGCCACGAAUUGGCAUUACGAUUGAACAGAUUCGAUCAGUUUUAGCAGAAAUUAAGAUCAACUUAUUCGUUGGACGACAUAAGCAUAUCGUCGAAUUUUUGGGAUUCUGCAUUACAGAGAUACGAAGGGGGAAAGUAAGCAUAAUCUUGGAAUUAUGUGAGAACGGAAGUCUUCUUAAAUAUCUUCGUGAUCAUGCGACACAAUUCGAAGGGCGAGAUGCUAUUUCAAGCAGCGGAAACUAUGAAAAUACGACUCUCUUCGGUAAUAUUACACUUGUCCGAUGGUGUAAAGAGAUCGCGGAAGGAAUGGAGUUCCUAGCAGGAAAUAAUGUACUACAUGGCGAUUUGGCGGCCAGGAAUUGUCUAUUGGAUUCACAGUUGUCGAUUAAAAUAAGUGAUUUCGGAUUAUCCCGGAAAUUAUAUGAUUAUCGAAAUUACGUCAAAAGGAGCAAGGCACCCCUCCCGUGGCGCUGGAUGGCCCUCGAAUCUCUGAAAGCGUUCGAAUUCUCGGUCAAGUCUGACGUGUGGUCGUACGGGGUGACAAUCUGGGAGAUUUUCAGUCUUGGUGACCAACCAUAUCCGACUUUGACUUGGAACGAGGCAUUCAUCCAAGCACUGUCUUCCGGGUUGCGACCCCCACGGCCAAACGGAUGUCCGGAUGUGUGUUACGCUUUGACGAAUUCCUGCUGGGAGAACGAUCCUGCAAGUAGGCCAGAAUUUUCCGAAAUUAUUCACCUGAUUGGACAAGAACUCGAGAAAAUGGUGCCGGAUGGACAGAUUGGAGUGGAAUGCGAAUAUGAGGAAGUGCGUUGAAUUUAAACUUUCUUAUAAAUUUGACGAAUUUGUCAGUGGUGUAACACCACUUGUGUUAAUAAAGAAUGAUAAUAAUUACUUGUAUUGUUCCAAGCAGUUUGUGAUAUCUAUGAUAUCUUUGCUAGUUGUUAAGGUACCGGAUUGGUUUAAUAAAUUGAUGUAAAACAGCGCACAACAA